rnacentral:rRNA from 1 species
UACGAAGGGGGCUAGCGUUGCCUCGGAAUCACUGGGCGUAAAGCGCACGUAGGCGGCUUUUUAAGUCAGGGGUGAAAUCCUGGAGCUCAACUCCAGAACUGCCUUCGAUACUGGGAAUCUUGAGUCCGGAAGAGGUGAGUGGAACUGCGAGUGUAGAGGUGAAAUUCGUAGAUAUUCGCAAGAACACCAGUGGCGAAGGCGGCUCACUGGUCCGGUACUGACGCUGAGGUGCGAAAGCGUGGGGAGCAAACAGG